GACAGAGAGAGAGCUCGCGACCGUGACCGAGACAGAGACAGAGAAAGAGACAGAGAAAGACGCAGAGACAAAGAAGAUCGCGAACGCGAACGCGAACGCGACCGUGACCGAGACAGAGACAGAGACAGAGAACGCACCCGCAGCACCCGCUCACGCACCCGUUCACCUGACCGGACCCGUAGCACCCGCUCGCGCACCCGUUCACCUGACCGCACCCGCUCACGACACGCACGCUCUCCUGAACGCCAUCGUUCUCGCUCACGCUCCCCGGAGUCUCGUUCUCACCGCCGCCAUCGCAACCAGCGCACUCCUUCCCCAUCGCCACCCCGAAAACGUCACCGUCAUGACACCGAGG
rnacentral:lncRNA from 1 species